rnacentral:rRNA from 1 species
ACGCGAGGAACCUUACCAGGUCUUGACAUCCCAUUGACCGCUAUGGAGACAUAGCUUUCCCUUCGGGGACAGUGGUGACAGGUGGUGCAUGGUUGUCGUCAGCUCGUGUCGUGAGAUGUUGGGUUAAGUCCCGCAACGAGCGCAACCCUUGUUCUUAGUUGCCAUCAUUUAGUUGGGCACUCUAAGGAGACUGCCGGUGACAAACCGGAGGAAGGUGGGGAUGACGUCAAAUCAUCAUGCCCCUUAUGACCUGGGCUACACACGUGCUACAAUGGACGGUACAAACGGUUGCCAACCCGCGAGGGGGAGCUAAUCCGAUAAAACCGUUCUCAGUUCGGAUUGUAGGCUGCAACUCGCCUACAUGAAGCCGGAAUCGCUAGUAAUCGCGGAUCAGCAUGCCGCGGUGAAUACGUUCCUGGGCCUUGCACACACCGCCCGU